CCGCCGGCGACCGGCGCACGGGUGAGUAACACGUAUGCAACCUGGCCGUGACAGAUGGAUAACCGGGAGAAAUCCCGCCUAAUACAACAUAAUGCCGGGAGGGGACAUCCCCUGCCGGCCAAAGGGGGCGACCACGGUCACGGAUGGGCAUGCGGCGCAUUAGGUAGUUGGUGGGGCAACGGCCCACCAAGCCGACGAUGCGUAGGGGUUCUGAGAGGAAGGUCCCCCACAUUGGAACUGAGACACGGUCCAAACUCCUACGGAAGGCAGCAG
rnacentral:rRNA from 1 species